AUACAUCCCAAGCACACACACUGACAAAAAGCAGUAUAAUGCCUUGCUGCAAGCUAAAGUUCUAUAUUUCCAGGGUAACAAACAUUACACCAAAGAUUGAAAUAUAUGUAUUGGAUUUUUAAUCGAGAAACACUUGGCAUAUACAAAUGCUUUCGUGUGCAAGUGUCAGCAUUAGAUUGUCUAAAUAUUCACCUAUACCACAAGUUUGUUCAUUGAU
rnacentral:misc_RNA from 1 species